rnacentral:miRNA from 1 species
GAGGCUGGCAGAAGCCCUGG